AGUAGAAUAGCUGGGUCAAAUGGUGGUUCCAUUCCUAGUUUUUUUUAAGGACUCUCCAUACUGCUUUCCAGAGUGGUUGUAGCAAUUUGCAGUCCCACUAGCAAU
rnacentral:pre_miRNA from 1 species